AGAGUUUGAUCAUGGCUCAGGAUGAACGCUGGCGGCGUGCCUAAUACAUGCAAGUCGAACGGAAUAUUGUAGCAAUACAAUGUUUAGUGGCGAACGGGUGAGUAACGCGUUGGUGACCUGCCUCGAAGCGGGGGAUAACAGUCCGAAAGGAUUGCUAAUACCCCAUGUGGCCAUAAGGGUUAGAGUCCUUAUGACUAAAGGAGUAAUUCACUUCGAGAGGGGCCUGCGUCCCAUCAGCUAGUUGGUAGGGUAAUGGCCUACCAAGGCUUAGACGGGUAGGGGACCUGAGAGGGUGACCCCCCACACUGGAACUGAAAACGGUCCAGACACCUACGGGUGGCAGCAGUAGGGAAUAUUGCACAAUGGACGAAAGUCUGAUGCAGCAACGCCGCGUGUGCGAUGAAGGCCUUCGGGUUGUAAAGCACUUUUAUGAGGGAAGAGCAAGGACUGUACCUCAUGAAUAAGGAUCGGCUAACUACGUGCCAGCAGCCGCGGUAACACGUAGGAUCCAAGCGUUAUCCGGAUUUACUGGGCGUAAAGCGCGUGCAGGUGGUUUGUUAAGUUGGGUGUUAAAUCUCUUGGCUCAACUGAGAGAUGUCGCUCAAAACUAGCAGACUGGAGGACGGUAGAGGAAGGCAGAAUUCCGGGUGUAGUGGUGAAAUGGGUAGAUAUCCGGAGGAAUACCAGUGGCGAAGGCGGCCUUCUGGACCGUUCCUGACACUCAGACGCGAAAGCUAGGGGAGCAAACGGGAUUAGAAACCCCGGUAGUCCUAGCUGUAAACGAUGUGAACAUGGUGUUGGCGGGGUAAAACCUGUCGGUGCCGAAGCAAACGCGAUAAGUUCACCGCCUGGGGACUACGGCCGCAAGGUUAAAACUCAAAGGAAUUGACGG
rnacentral:rRNA from 1 species